AGUGAACGCUGGCGGUAGGCCUAACACAUGCAAGUCGAACGGCAGCACAGUAAGAGCUUGCUCUUACGGGUGGCGAGUGGCGGACGGGUGAGGAAUACAUCGGAAUCUACUUUUUCGUGGGGGAUAACGUAGGGAAACUUACGCUCAUACCGCAUACGACCUACGGGUGAAAGCAGGGGAUCUUCGGACCUUGCGCGAUUGAAUGAGCCGAUGUCGGAUUAGCUAGUUGGCGGGGUAAAGGCCCACCAAGGCGACGAUCCGUAGCUGGUCGGAGAGGAUGAUCAGCCACACUGGAACUGAGACACGGUCCAGACUCCUACGGGAGGCAGCAGUGGGGAAUAUUGGACAAUGGGCGCAAGCCUGAUCCAGCCAUACCGCGUGGGUGAAGAAGGCCUUCGGGUUGUAAAGCCCUUUUGUUGGGAAAGAAAAGCAGCAGGUUAAUACCCCGCUGUUCUGACGGUACCCAAAGAAUAAGCACCGGCUAACUUCGUG
rnacentral:rRNA from 1 species